rfam:Bacteroides sp. CAG:1060 genomic scaffold, scf88
GGUGCUGUAGCUCAGGUGGUAGAGCAAUGGACUGAAAAUCCAUGUGUCGCCGGUUCAACUCCUGCCAGCACCA